rnacentral:rRNA from 1 species
AUUGAACGCUGGCGGCAGGCCUAACACAUGCAAGUCGAGCGGAGCGGCGGACGGGUGAGUAAUGCCUAGGAAUCUGCCUGGUAGUGGGGGAUAACGUCCGGAAACGGGCGCUAAUACCGCAUACUAUCAGACGAGCCUAGGUCGGAUUAGCUAGCUGGUGGGGUAAUGGCCUACCAAGGCGACGAUCCGUAACUGGUCUGAGUGGAUGAUCAGUCACACGGGAACUGAGACACGGUCCGGACUCCUACGGGAGGCAGCGGUGGGGAGUAUUGGACAAUGGGCGAAAGCCGAAUGCAGCCAUGCCGCGUGUGUGAAGAAGGUCUUCGGGUUGUAAAGCACUUUAAGUUGGGAGGCGUUACCGACAGAAGAAGCACCGGCUAACUUCGUGCCAGCAGCCGCGGUAAUUC